rnacentral:rRNA from 1 species
CAUUCAAGAAUAUUAGUCAAUGCUCGUAAGAGUGAACUAGUUAACUGAAAUCAUAGAAUUUUUUUAAGUUCAUGAUGUCGUAAGGGAAAAUAAUGAUAAUACCUUACUAUGAGUGUCGUCCAAAUCUGGUGCCAGAAGACUCGGUAAGACCAGAGACGCAAACGUUAAUCAUCAUAAACAGGCGUAAAGGGUUUGUAGGCAGCUUUUAUAAGAUUAAAAAAAUUAAUUUAAUUGAAAGCUAGAAUCAAAAAGAGGUUAUAGUGUAUAACGCCUAGAGGAGGGCUGAUAUCCAUAGAUCCUAGGCAGAAUACUUAGGGCGAAGGCCACUCUCCACUAAUGAUUGACGCUGAGAAACGAAGGUUAGGGUAGGAAAUAGGAUUAGAUACCCCGGUACUCCUUUCUGUAAACGAUGAAUGGUAGUCAUUAGUUAAAUUAAAUAACUAGAGGCGAAGUUAACACAAUAACCAUUCCGCCUUGUGAGUACUACUGCAAAGUAGAAAACAAAAAAAUUAAUCGGUCUCAAAGCAAACGGAGUGAAGCAUGUUAUUUAAUUCGAUAAAUC